CCUGAACCUGCUCCCGGAGCCUGCGCCAGCUUCCUGAGCCUGAAGAGGAGGCCUGGCCGGUGUUCCCGGAGGGCCCUGAAGUCACUCACCCCCAGAGCAUCUGUCGCUCAAGGGGGUCCUUUUCCGGGGGACUCUCCCUUUCUGGGGAGGUUCUCCUCAUGUCGAGUCCAGCGGCUCCUCAGUUGCACCCAGCACAGGGCCAGGUCUGGUCACAGCUGUCCUGGAACGGGAGCCCCUGAGAGCAAGGAGCUUGCUUGUUAUGUCUACUGAUGGAUUUUGAAAGUCCAGGACAGCACGUGGCUGGUACAUAGUAGGGCUUCAGGAAUAUUUGUUGAGUGAAUAAAUGAAUUGGGAGGUGAAUAAAUGAAUGAGUAAGUG
ensembl:lncRNA